GUGGAAAGUUCGAUUCACAGGCUAAGAUCAGGUGCUGCGACCACAGGACUUCAAAACAGCCAAAUCCCUGUGCCUGCCUAUGAGCUGAAGCCUGUUCCCUUCCAACUUCACCCAGGACAGUUGGGUAGCAACCUAGGCAGCAAUGAGUGCCAGGAAGUCCUUCGCAGUGACUUGUGGGAAAUGUAGUCCGGACAACUAUGACGUCACAGAAUGACUGUGGGUAGCACACUUAAGCAUUCCUUAUUCAAACUUGGCUUCACCCCAAAGUUAGGCAAGUUUCCUGCUCAGCGCUGGGCUUGGAUCUCUGACCUGGAGGUCUUGCUUCUUCUAAGUCAUACCUGGUCACAUUUCUGGAGCAAAGACAAGAGCCUUCAGAUGUGAAGAGACAAGCAGCCACUGUCAUUCAGCCAGGGGGAAAAUGCUUUACAUGCAAAGAAU